UACGGAGGGUGCAAGCGUUGUUCGGAAUCACUGGGCGUAAAGGGGCGUGUAGGCGGCCCCGCUAAAGUCUGAUGUGAAAAUCCCCCCUCGCUCAAACGAGGGGAACUGCGUCGGAAAACUGGCGGACUCGAGUACUUAAGAGGAUCGCGGAAUUCCCGGUGUAGAGGUGAAAAUUUCGUAGAUAUCGGGGAGGAACACCAGUGGCGAAGGCGGCGUCUGGGGAAAGAUAUGACGCUGAGGUGCGAAAACGUGGGGGGACAAAACGGG
rnacentral:rRNA from 1 species